CAGUGUUUGUUUUUCAGACGGACAAGAGAUUGCAUGUCCCUGGACGCCUCGCAGGGAUAUCUGGUCAUCAGAGUGACUUCCAUGAAGAAGGAAUCCGGUUUAAAAGAACAAAAAACAUUCAAUUCCACAUUAAAAGGGUCCGGAAUGGAAAAUUUAAGUGCGUCUGCACA
rnacentral:lncRNA from 11 species